rnacentral:misc_RNA from 1 species
GGAUCAUUACUGAGUGCGGGCCCUCUGGGUCCAACCUCCCACCCGUGUUUAUCGUACCUUGUUGCUUCGGCGGGCCCGCCAUCACGGCCGCCGGGGGGCAUCCGCCCCCGGGCCCGCGCCCGCCGAAGACACCAUUGAACGCUGUCUGAAGAUUGCAGUCUGAGCGAAAAGCAAAAUUAGUUAAAACUUUCAACAACGGAUCUCUUGGUUCCGGCAUCGAUGAAGAACGCAGCGAAAUGCGAUAAGUAAUGUGAAUUGCAGAAUUCAGUGAAUCAUCGAGUCUUUGAACGCACAUUGCGCCCCCUGGUAUUCCGGGGGGCAUGCCUGUCCGAGCGUCAUUGCUGCCCUCAAGCACGGCUUGUGUGUUGGGCCCCCGUCCCCCGACUCCCGGGGGACGGGCCCGAAAGGCAGCGGCGGCACCGCGUCCGGUCCUCGAGCGUAUGGGGCUUCGUCACCCGCUCUGUAGGCCCGGCCGGCGCCUGCCGACCAUCAUCCUUUUUUUCAGGUUGACCUCGGAUCAGGUAGGGAUACCCGCUGAACUUAAGCAUAUCAAUAAGCGGAGGAAAAGAAACCAACAGGGAUUGCCCCAGUAACGGCGAGUGAAGCGGCAAGAGCUCAAAUUUGAAAGCUGGCUCCUUCGGGGCCCGCAUUGUAAUUUGCAGAGGAUGCUUCGGGAGCGGCCCCCAUCUAAGUGCCCUGGAACGGGCCGUCAUAGAGGGUGAGAAUCCCGUAUGGGAUGGGGUGUCCGCGCCCGUGUGAAGCUCCUUCGACGAGUCGAGUUGUUUGGGAAUGCAGCUCU